GACGAACGCUGGCGGCGUGCUUAACACAUGCAAGUCGAGCGGUAAGGCCCUUCGGGGUACACGAGCGGCGAACGGGUGAGUAACACGUGGGUGACCUGCCCUCCACUUCGGGAUAAGCCUGGGAAACUGGGUCUAAUACCGGAUAGGACCUCCUGGUGCAUGCUGGGGGGUGGAAAGUUGUUCGGUGGGGGAUGGGCCCGCGGUCUAUCAGCUUGUUGGUGGGGUGAUGGCCUACCAAGGCGACGACGGAUAGCCGGCCUGAGAGGGUGAUCGGCCACACUGCGGGUGAGAGCCGGCCCAGACUCCUACGGGCGGCAGCACUGGGGAAGCUUGCGCAAUGGGCGGACGCCUGACUCAGCAACGCCGCGUUAGGGAUGACGGCCUGCGGGUUGUAAACCUCUUUCAGCACCGACGAAGCGCAAGUGACGGUAGGUGCAGAAAAAGGACCGGCCAACUACGUGCCAGCCGCCGCGGUAAAAC
rnacentral:rRNA from 1 species